CAACUUUUAGAUUCAACCCAAUUCCACAAAUCAGUGUGCUCUCUCUCUCUCUCUCUCUCUCUCUCUCUCUCUCUGUGUAAAUUUUAUUUUGAUAUUUUGUUGUGUUGUCCAAAAGAACUCAUCUAGGAAGACGAAACUGGUGUGCGAUGAAGAAGCUGAACCACCAGCUGGGAUCUCACGCGCCGUCGCCUCUAAAGGAAGGCUUCUACUUUGUUUUAAUAAUCUUAUUCCUAAUGGAAAUUGCUGGAGCUCAAACUACAAGAAAUGCCACCGUUGAUCCUUCUGAAGGUUCUCCUCUCUCUCUCUCUCUCUCUCUCUCUCUCUCUCUCUCUCUCAGUGUAUCUGUAC
rnacentral:lncRNA from 1 species